rnacentral:rRNA from 1 species
AGUGAACGCUGGCGGUAGGCCUAACACAUGCAAGUCGAACGGCAGCACAGUAAGAGCUUGCUCUUACGGGUGGCGAGUGGCGGACGGGUGAGGAAUACAUCGGAAUCUACUUUUUCGUGGGGGAUAACGUAGGGAAACUUACUCUAAUACCGCAUACGACCUACGGGUGAAAGCAGGGGAUCUUCGGACCUUGCGCGAUUGAAUGAGCCGAUGUCGGAUUAGUUAGUUGGCGGGGUAAAGGCCCACCAAGGCGACGAUCCGUAGCUGGUCUGAGAGGAUGAUCAGCCACACUGGAACUGAGACACGGUCCAGACUCCUACGGGAGGCAGCAGUGGGGAAUAUUGGACAAAGGGCGCAAGCCUGAUCCAGCCAUACCGCGUGGGUGAAGAAGGCCUUCGGGUUGUAAAGCCCUUUUGUUGGGAAAGAAAAGCAGCAGGUUAAUACCCCGCUGUUCUGACGGUACCCAAAGAAUAAGCACCGGCUAACUUCGUG